GUGUGUGUGUGUGUGUGUGUGUGUGUGUGUGUGUGUGUGUAUGUGUGCUUGCUUGCCUGUGUACAUGUAUAGGAUACAGUCCUAGUAUAUUCGAAAGAGACAACUUGAACCCUUGUUACAUCUCAAACAGGCAUCAUCCCAAAUCUUCAAGUAAGCCAACUGUGACCCUGUUUACGAAAAACCCUUGUCCUCUUUGUGACGUUGCACUUGAGGUUUUAGAACCACUGAGAGACCAGUUUAAACUUGUUGAGGUGGAUAUAACUGCACCAGGCAAUGAAAAAUGGUUUAAUUUGUAUAAGUAUGAAAUCCCAGUCUUUCACUUUGAAGGCCAAUUUUUGAUGAAACACAGAGCAGACUUUAAUUUGUUACAUCAAAAACUUAUUGAAUUUCGAGAAAGUUAACUCUGGUUUAGGUAUACUUUUAACAAUAAGAUUUCCUAUAAUAUAGAGUAAGUAGUAGGUAAAAAUGUUAUCACAUGUCUUAUCCAGGACAGAGAAGAACUAAUUUUGUGAAUAAUAUUUAUAUAUAUAUAUAUAUUUGUUACUUUCAUAUUGCAUAAGUUUAGGCAUAUAUUAAAGUAUCAUUUUGUCUGAUAAUCAACAGACCCCCAAAAAUGGUUAAGAAGUUCCAUGUAUUGUAUAUGUUAACCACUUAACCACUUGCCACCGGCUAUGGCAUGUGCAUACUUGCCAUGCCCUCUGUGUUUAAUUUAGUAAUUGUUUUUAUAUAUAGAUGGCUCCACCAAUGAGCCAAUUACAAGAACUUCCUGUCUCACCUGUUUACUCUUUUCCGUCAUUUUCGAUAAUAUUUUUGAGUAUUUAAUACUGCUGUUAGUAAUGUCAAUAACAAUAUAGUAAUUAUAAUGUUAACAAAAAUGUGUUGAUACUGAUAGCAUUGUUAAAAAAUAAUUUUCCUGCUAUUUCAAGGAAAGGUGAGGUCACAUCUAAUUGACUCCUUUGUGACCUAGCACUGGCAGAGCCAUCUAUAUACAUAAACAUUUAACAAAGCAAUACCAAAGUGAAUGCAGUAUUUUCCCAUCAGCAUUGGGUUAGCCUUACAUCAACCAGUUUGUAAAAAUGUACAAUUUCAAACUGUUUAUUUCAUGAAUAAACAUCAAAGUAUAUAAUAGAGUAUCAUAAUCCAUUGUCAAGUUAUUCUGCUACUUGUACUCACAGACUGUUAAUAUGUGUAACACUUUAUGAUAAAAGCUGGCCUUCAAAUGUUGACUUAUUUGGUACUACAGAUUUUUGUGUUGUGUAAUUCUUAUUUGUGUGUGAUGUAGCUGUGACACUUAACCAUUCGAAGUUAAAUUGCUGUUUUUUUUUUUGUAUGUAUAUACAUAUACAUACAUAUAUGCAUUUAUAUCUCUCACACACACAAAAACGACAAUAAUUACAGGUAACAAGUAUUUUGUUCAUUUUUAGCUGACAUUCUGUAACCUGGUCUUAGGAAAGAGGAGUGGUAUUUAUACUUUUGAAAAUGUUCUCUCAAUUCUUGUGACAAUAAUAAACUUUUACAACAAAUUGU